AUGGCUGCGCCGGCCACCUUCGUCGUGGUGGUCGCCUUGGUGGCGGCUGCUCUCUGCGGCGGCGUCUGCCGGGCGCAGGACAUGGACAACGAGUGGGCACGGUACCGCGGGUUCUUCGGCGGCGGCGGCACGCUGCUGCCACAAUCGGACGUGGACCUGCUGGAGUUCCCGCUGAACCUCGAGUACCUGGAGGCGGAGUUCUUCUGCUGGUCGGCGCUGGGCUACGGCCUCGAUGGCAUCGACGUCAACCUCACCGGCGGCGGCCCGCAUCCCAUCGGUGGCCAGACCGCCGCCCUCACCCCCUUCGUCCGAGACGUCGCCACACAGUUCUGCUACCAAGAAGUUGGCCACCUCAGGGCGAUCAAGCAGAACGUGAGGGGAUUCCCGCGGCCGCAGCUGGACAUCAGCGCGACCAACAUCGGCAAGAUCGUGGAGCAGGCGAUGAACACGACGCUGGACCCGCCCUUCAACCCCUACGAGAACAGCCUCAACUUCCUCAUCGCCUCCUACAUCAUCCCGUACGUCGGCCUGACCGGCUACGUCGGCGCCAACCCCAAGCUCCUCACUCCCCAGGCCAGAAGGCUGGUGGCGGGACUGCUGGGCGUGGAAUCCGCACAGGACGCGGUGAUCCGGGCCCUGCUGUACGAGCGCGGACUGUCGCGGGUGGCGAGCUAUGGUGUUGGUGUGGCGGAGGUGACCGCGCACAUCUCCGAGCUGCGGAACGAGCUUGGGAGGAGGGGGGUGAAGGACGAGGGGCUAGUGGUGGCGCCGGGUGAGGGGCCCGAGGGGCAGACCGUGGGGAACAUCAUCGCCGGCGACCGCUACUCGCUCGCUUACGAUCGCACGCCCGAGGAGAUCCUCGGCAUCGUGUACGGCACCGGAAGCCCCGCCCAGGCCGGCGGCUUCUUUCCCCAGGGCGCUGACGGCCGCAUAGCCAGGGGGCUCCUCAUGUAG
rnacentral:rRNA from 1 species